AUUUCUAAUUUAAUUUAUGUGUUUUCUAUUAUAAACGAGGAAAACUAUUCAAACGGUCUUCAGAUUUUCGAGAGAACAGUAGAACGAGUUAGAAAGGA
rnacentral:pre_miRNA from 1 species